rnacentral:rRNA from 1 species
AAUCAACGCUGGCGGCGUGCCUCAGACAUGCAAAGUCGAACGAUUAAAGCUCCCUUCGGGGAGUGUAUAGAGUGGCGCACGGGUGAGUAACACGUAAGUAAUCUACCUUCGAGUGGGGAAUAACGUCCGGAAACGGACGCUAAUACCGCAUAACGCAGCGGCAUCGCAAGAUGACAGUUGUUAAAGAUUUAUCGCUUGAAGAGGAGCUUGCGGCAGAUUAGCUUGUUGGAAGGUAACGGCUUACCAAGGCUACGAUCUGUAACCGGUCUAAGAGGACGGUCGGUCACACUGACACUGAAUAACGGGUCAGACUCCUACGGGAGGCAGCAGUCGGGAAUUUUGGGCAAUGGGGGAAACCCUGACCCAGCAACGCCGCGUGAAGGAUGAAGUAUUUCGGUAUGUAAACUUCGAAAGAAUAGGAAGAAUUAAUGACGUACUAUUUAUAAGGUCCGCUAACUACGUGCCAGCAGCCGCAGU